UUUUUUUUUUUUUUAAUUCUUUCGUUCUAUCAUCAAACACUUUUGCACCUCUGGUCAAGUUUCCCUGGGAUUUGGGGCUCUUAUGAAGGGAGUUCCAGUCCUGGGAUCCACCGGCCAAGUGUCAGAGGGCGAAGGCCGUCCUGCACGCAGAAGGCAUGUGUGUGCCCUUGCGCGCGUGCAUCUAAGUGUGGGUUAGGACCACGGGGCGUUUGUGGACGUGUGAAGACCGGGGUGUGAAUCUGCCAGCACAGGCCUGAGUGCUGCAGAUGGGCUCUGACACCUCGUUAGGGAGCAUGCCUCAGUUCCCUGAAGAUUUAACUACACAUUCCCAACCUGGCCACCAGACCCCUUUCUGUGCCCGUAGAGAACAUCUGUAACAACUGCAUUCCCAACACGCUAUUGCAAGCAUCCCCCAUCCUCCCAUAUGUUACAUAUUAAACAGACAUGGAAUGUCUUUUUUCUCCUUGAUCCGCGGUUUUAAUGUAUUGAAAACUCUUCACCCACCCUCUCCUUUGAAUGUCGCCUCCCCACAUGCCGCCAGUCAUGUUUAUGAAGCUCAACCUUCUCUUCUCACUUGACGUAACAAGCAAAUAUGCCACAAGCCUAGAACAUCUCUUGCCACGACAUGGCCCCUCAUAUGAUACGCUAUCAACGUUUCCUCCUCCUGAGAAACUUAAAGGUGUCAGUCAGAUUGUUUCCAUAAGCAAAAAAAGCUUUCCGAAAGCUUGGGGUCUCCAGCUCUACUCCCUUUUUCUUUAUUUACUUGCUUGUUGAACUUAAUGGAUGACGACGCUUUUCAAUGCAGAGGUGCCUCUAAGCCUCUCAUUAGGCCUUCAGGACGUUGAAACAUGCAAAAGAUGUGUCUAUUUAGGUUUCCAUAGGAAAAAGAGAAGGAAGUCACAACACCCAGGAUCUACUGGGAAAGGGCAAGCAGCAGGGGCUGUGCUCUACAGGGGCUGUGUUCCCUCCCCUCCCCCCAGUCUUUAGGGCUGUGACAAGGGACCGCAGUCCUUUGCAGCUCAGGCUGCCUCACCUGAAUGGUGAGGUGGGUGGCAUCUCACUUCGCAAUACCUGCCUGCCUGCCUGUGUCCAUGUUCUUCCACUCCAGGUUCACCUCCCCAGGCAGCCUGGCUGGCAGCAAGCCCACAGUCCAGGCUAUGAAAUAUGGCCACCUCGGGGCAAACUGGGAGGGCCGGUGCUAAGAGUGUGGCAGGAUGACUCAUCUUUGCCUUGGGACAACUGCUGGGUGUGAGGAAACUGGAAGCCAGUCCACUUCAGGUCGGCUCCAUCUAAGAGCCUGGCCUUCCGGAAUGCUGGUAUGUGGGACCCAUGGCCAAGGACACACCCACCCCCUUCUGCGACCCCAUGAGAGCCCAGAGCAAAGCUGUCCCUGUGGUUCCAGGGAGGCUUUAGGCCACAGAGGGUGUUAUUACAGGAACAGAAGUGUAUACUGAGGGGAAUAAAUUGCCACAGAAGUGUCUACAAUACAAACAACAGCAGCGUGCAUGUGUGUGUGCAUGCACACAUGUGUACAUACACACACACACACAGACACACAAUGUGGGGGAGGGGAGAUGGAAAAAUUAAAACAUCCAAAUCAUAAUAAACAAUGAUCAGAAAGAGGAGACUUUAAAAAAGGAAGUGGAAACUUGGUCUUCAUGGGUGGUUUCCUUCACUGCCCCCCAGCCAGCCCGAAUCAUCGCAGGCUUGGCUUUAACCAAAGACUCUUUCUGCUCCCUCAUGAUCCCAGGACUCCAGCAGCAGGAAGGAGGAAAGGGUGGCGGGGACACAGACAUGGGGCCUACUUUGGCUUAGAUCUUCUCAUUAAUGACCCCACUGUGAGCCUGAUUUCCAGAACAGGUGCUUGGUCACCUUGGGCCAAUGGCUCCCCCUCCAACUCACCCCUGCCCUUUCCCCUUCCCCCUGGACUUCGGAUCUGGUGGUACAGUUCCCAUCCAGCAGGAGGCGGGGCCAAGUGCUGAGAAACCAGGAGCCCUCUCAAGCCUCCCCGUCUUUGACUACUUGUUGAUAAUAUUUCUGGAAGAGAAUCCAAAGUCCUUUGCUUAUACCCAGCCCCUUUCUCAAGAUAGCACAGUUUUCCAUUUUUCCCUUCUCCCUGGCAGCAGUGAUAUCAUGUGACUUGUUGUAAUCCUGCACGGUUGCCUGGAAACUGGGAAGCAAGGUGAUGGAUUUCUGCACAUGCUCACUCUCCCCCCUCCUUUAAAGAAAAAACCCUACAGAGGAUAAACAGCCUACUUUGCCUAAGUGCAGACAAGUUUAAUAAAGCAGAGAGUAUAAUUCUUUUCUGGAAUUACGCAUCAGGUUGAAAUCCUAGAAUCCUUGACAACGAAGACUCGGGAUUCCCUGAGAAGCAUCUGGCCAGAUCUCCAAACUUUUAUCAGCAUCCCCUACCCCCAGAACCCCUCUGGAGUGGAAAUCAGACCAGCUGUGACUUAAAAGAAGUUGAGACCCAGGACGUGGUUUUCUAAGAUUCUGUGACUUUGUCUUUUCUUUCUUUGGAAAAGUGCCACCUCAGACAACGUACCUUUGUUUAAGGAGGGAGGUGGAGAGACACACAGGUAACCUUUCCUAAGACUAAAGGUCACCCAGUUGCUCUGAUCCCCUUGUGUCCACCUGUAGAAGGGAUGAAACAGCCCUCAGAAUCCUGUUGUGAGGCUAAGUAAUAUGGCAAAUGUCCAGCAAGAUCCCUGACACACAGUAGGCGCUCCAACCCGUUCCCUCAAUAGUCUGUUGACCCAUUCUGGGAAGAAAUCCUCCAAGUCCAAAGCACAGUUGCCCUCCUGCUGGGAGUCGUGGGGAGGAGGGGAGCCUGGAGGCUGCAGGGAAGGGGUCAUCCUACAGAGGUGAGCCAGCCCUGCCAUCCUCCCUGCAGAGAGGAGCAGGCUGGAGGGGAAGGAGCUGUGCCUUUGACCAUCUCCCAAAAAGCAGUCCUCUCCUGUACCCAAAAAGACACAUCCACAUUUUCUAGCCAGGGGACUCUAAAAGUGUUCUCUGCUCCAAUCCGCCUUUUAAAAGAUGGGGGGCUUAAGCUAGGAGGAGGUGAAGAGAUGUCACAGGAUCACUCCGUCCAUGCUCAAGCUGAGCUAGAACCUCCGAAGGGUUCUGACUCCUGGUCCAUCCUCUUUUCCUCCUCCGGGUAAGGAGCCCCAGGGUAGGGCUGCCUAAGAGGGGGGCCUGGGCUCCUCAAAUCCCCGACUUCCACUGCGGAACUAGUAAACACAAUUGAGGGAUGCUUUCCUAUUAGAAUCACCCAGGGCUUCAGCCUGAAGUUCCACGGAAACACACUUUCGCCCACCCCUGAUCAGGGACCGCCUUGACCUUGGAACUGGGCUGGCCGCAAGUCUU
rnacentral:lncRNA from 1 species